CGGUUAAGUUAGAAAGGGCGCACGGUGGAUGCCUUGGCACUAGGAGCCGAUGAAGGACGGGACGAACACCGAUAUGCUUCGGGGAGCUGUAAGCAAGCUUUGAUCCGGAGAUUUCCGAAUGGGGAAACCCACCACUCGUAAUGGAGUGGUAUCCAUAUCUGAAUACAUAGGAUAUGAGAAGGCAGACCCGGGGAACUGAAACAUCUAAGUACCCGGAGGAAGAGAAAGCAAAUGCGAUUCCCUGAGUAGCGGCGAGCGAAACGGGACCAGCCCAAACCAAGAGGCUUGCCUCUUGGGGUUGUAGGACACUCUGUACGGAGUUACAAAGGAACGAGGUAGAUGAAGAGGUCUGGAAAGGCCCGCCAUAGAAGGUAACAGCCCUGUAGUCAAAACUUCGUUCUCUCCUGAGUGGAUCCUGAGUACGGCGGAACACGUGAAAUUCCGUCGGAAUCCGGGAGGACCAUCUCCCAAGGCUAAAUACUCCCUAGUGACCGAUAGUGAACCAGUACCGUGAGGGAAAGGUGAAAAGCACCCCGGAAGGGGAGUGAAAGAGAUCCUGAAACCGUGUGCCUACAAGUAGUCAGAGCCCGUUAACGGGUGAUGGCGUGCCUUUUGUAGAAUGAACCGGCGAGUUACGAUCCCGUGCAAGGUUAAGCAGAAGAUGCGGAGCCGCAGCGAAAGCGAGUCUGAAUAGGGCGAAUUGAGUACGUGGUCGUAGACCCGAAACCAGGUGAUCUACCCAUGUCCAGGGUGAAGUUCAGGUAACACUGAAUGGAGGCCCGAACCCACGCACGUUGAAAAGUGCGGGGAUGAGGUGUGGGUAGGGGUGAAAUGCCAAUCGAACCUGGAGAUAGCUGGUUCUCUCCGAAAUAGCUUUAGGGCUAGCCUCAAGGUAAGAGUCUCGGAGGUAGAGCACUGAUUGGACUAGGGGCCCCUACCGGGUUACCGAAUUCAGUCAAACUCCGAAUGCCGAUGACUUAUCCUUGGGAGUCAGACUGCGAGUGAUAAGAUCCGUAGUCGAAAGGGAAACAGCCCAGACCGCCAGCUAAGGUCCCAAAGUAUACGUUAAGUGGAAAAGGAUGUGGAGUUGCUUAGACAACCAGGAUGUUGGCUUAGAAGCAGCCACCAUUUAAAGAGUGCGUAAUAGCUCACUGGUCGAGUGACUCUGCGCCGAAAAUGUACCGGGGCUAAACGUAUCACCGAAGCUGCGGACUGUUCUUCGAACAGUGGUAGGAGAGCGUUCUAAGGGCUGUGAAGCAAGACCGGAAGGACUUGUGGAGCGCUUAGAAGUGAGAAUGCCGGUAUGAGUAGCGAAAGAGGGGUGAGAAUCCCCUCCACCGAAUGCCUAAGGUUUCCUGAGGAAGGCUCGUCCGCUCAGGGUUAGUCGGGACCUAAGCCGAGGCCGAAAGGCGUAGGCGAUGGAUAACAGGUUGAUAUUCCUGUACCACCUCCUCACCAUUUGAGCAAUGGGGGGACGCAGGAGGAUAGGGUAAGCGCGGUAUUGGAUAUCCGCGUCCAAGCAGUUAGGCUGGGAAAUAGGCAAAUCCGUUUCCCGUGAAGGCUGAGCUGUGAUGGCGAGCGAAUUAUAGUAGCGAAGUUCCUGAUUCCACACUGCCAAGAAAAGCCUCUAGCGAGGUGAGAGGUGCCCGUACCGCAAACCGACACAGGUAGGCGAGGAGAGAAUCCUAAGGUGAUCGAGAGAACUCUCGUUAAGGAACUCGGCAAAAUGACCCCGUAACUUCGGGAGAAGGGGUGCUCUGUUAGGGUGCAAGCCCGAGAGAGCCGCAGUGAAUAGGCCCAGGCGACUGUUUAGCAAAAACACAGGUCUCUGCGAAGCCGUAAGGCGAAGUAUAGGGGCUGACGCCUGCCCGGUGCUGGAAGGUUAAGAGGAGCGCUUAGCGUAAGCGAAGGUGCGAAUUGAAGCCCCAGUAAACGGCGGCCGUAACUAUAACGGUCCUAAGGUAGCGAAAUUCCUUGUCGGGUAAGUUCCGACCCGCACGAAAGGCGCAACGAUCUGGGCACUGUCUCAACGAGAGACUCGGUGAAAUUAUAGUACCUGUGAAGAUGCAGGUUACCCGCGACAGGACGGAAAGACCCCGUGGAGCUUUACUGCAGCCUGAUAUUGAAUGUUGGUACAGCUUGUACAGGAUAGGUAGGAGCCUUGGAAACCGGAGCGCCAGCUUCGGUGGAGGCAUCGGUGGGAUACUACCCUGGCUGUAUUGACCUUCUAACCCGCCGCCCUUAUCGGGCGGGGAGACAGUGUCAGGUGGGCAGUUUGACUGGGGCGGUCGCCUCCUAAAAGGUAACGGAGGCGCCCAAAGGUUCCCUCAGAAUGGUUGGAAAUCAUUCGCAGAGUGUAAAGGCACAAGGGAGCUUGACUGCGAGACCUACAAGUCGAGCAGGGACGAAAGUCGGGCUUAGUGAUCCGGUGGUUCCGCAUGGAAGGGCCAUCGCUCAACGGAUAAAAGCUACCCCGGGGAUAACAGGCUUAUCUCCCCCAAGAGUCCACAUCGACGGGGAGGUUUGGCACCUCGAUGUCGGCUCAUCGCAUCCUGGGGCUGUAGUCGGUCCCAAGGGUUGGGCUGUUCGCCCAUUAAAGCGGUACGCGAGCUGGGUUCAGAACGUCGUGAGACAGUUCGGUCCCUAUCCGUCGCGGGCGCAGGAAAUUUGAGAGGAGCUGUCCUUAGUACGAGAGGACCGGGAUGGACGCACCGCUGGUGUACCAGUUGUUCUGCCAAGGGCAUCGCUGGGUAGCUAUGUGCGGACGGGAUAAGUGCUGAAAGCAUCUAAGCAUGAAGCCCCCCUCAAGAUGAGAUUUCCCAUUCCGCAAGGAAGUAAGAUCCCUGAAAGAUGAUCAGGUUGAUCGGCCUGAGGUGGAAGUGUGGCGACACAUGGAGCUGACAGAUACUAAUCGAUCGAGGACUUAACCAAUUU
rnacentral:rRNA from 1 species